GGGGCUCCCCGCCCCUCCCUCCUCUCCGGCGGCGGCGGCGGCGGCGGCGGGCGGAGUGAGCUGCGGAGCCUGGAAUAUGGUCGGGGAAAUGGAAACGAAGGAGAAGCCGAAGCCCACCCCAGAUUACCUGAUGCAGCUGAUGAACGACAAGAAGCUCAUGAGCAGCCUGCCCAACUUCUGCGGGAUCUUCAACCACCUCGAGCGGCUGCUGGACGAAGAAAUUAGCAGAGUACGGAAAGACAUGUACAAUGACACAUUAAAUGGCAGUACAGAGAAAAGGAGUGCAGAAUUGCCUGAUGCUGUGGGACCUAUUGUUCAGUUACAAGAGAAACUUUAUGUGCCUGUAAAAGAAUAUCCAGAUUUUAAUUUUGUUGGGAGAAUCCUUGGACCCAGAGGACUUACUGCUAAACAGCUUGAAGCAGAAACAGGAUGUAAAAUAAUGGUCCGAGGCAAAGGCUCCAUGAGGGAUAAAAAGAAGGAGGAGCAGAACAGAGGCAAGCCUAAUUGGGAGCAUCUCAAUGAAGAUUUACAUGUACUGAUCACUGUGGAAGAUGCUCAAAACAGAGCAGAAAUCAAACUGAAGAGAGCCGUUGAGGAAGUGAAGAAAUUACUGGUACCUGCAGCAGAGGGAGAAGACAGCCUGAAGAAGAUGCAGCUGAUGGAGCUUGCGAUUCUGAAUGGCACCUACAGAGACGCCAACAUUAAAUCACCAGCCCUUGCCUUUUCUCUUGCAGCAACAGCCCAGGCUGCUCCAAGGAUUAUCACUGGGCCUGCGCCUGUCCUCCCGCCAGCUGCCCUGCGUACUCCUACGCCAGCUGGCCCUACCAUAAUGCCUUUGAUCAGACAAAUACAGACCGCUGUCAUGCCAAACGGAACUCCUCACCCGACUGCUGCAAUAGUUCCUCCGGGGCCCGAAGCUGGUUUGAUCUACACACCCUAUGAGUACCCCUACACGUUGGCACCAGCUACAUCAAUUCUUGAGUAUCCUAUUGAACCUAGUGGUGUAUUAGAGUGGAUUGAAAUGCCAGUCAUGCCUGAUAUUUCAGCCCAUUGACUUGCUGGAUGAAGGACUAGAAUACAGCAGCUGUUCUAACACGACCAGUCAAUGUGGGACAAACUGUUUCCGUGCUGCCCCUUUGUUUUACCAGACAGAAUUUGAAUACUUUUUUUCCUUGAAUUGUAUAUGACCUUGGUGCUGCAUGCGUGCUGUUGACUCUUAGGACUUUUGAUCUUUUAAGUUUUUUUUCCAGCAUUAAUACUGAUUUAUAAAAAUUUGGAAGUCUUUAAUGAACCCGGACACUAAGAUUCAAACUUGAAAAUUCGCUGUUCAAUUCAAGAAAGCCACAAUGCUCUGUAUGUUAUCUGUGUGUGUGCACGCACUCAGGUGCCUUUUGUUUCAUGAGCAAAUAGGUUUUAUUGUACAUGUGUUCCGUUGAUCUCUAAAUCAUUGUAUAAAGUAUCACAGGUCAGAAUUAUACUAUAGAAUUGUUUAUGAGAGGCUUGUUUCUGUUGCACAUUUCUUGAAGCAUUUUUAAAAUAACAUGUAACAUGUAACCUGUUUACGUUUUCCUUUCUGUUAACGCUCUGUCCUGUGGCCCCAUGCCUGCUCCUCUCCCCAGAGCUCCUCUCUGCUGCACGCACAGCGUCUGUUCGAGGAGUUGGUUGCUUCCUGCAGGGCUGGCGCUCUAGCCACCAGCUGCUGUGCCAGCACUCUCACUGCAAGAUCUCGCUGAUUUUGCCUCGUGGAAUUAUACUUGUCUAAGAUUAGUAUAUCUAAAAUGAAAAAGGGGUGAUGGACCAGUUUACUGCUUAGAAACAGCUAGAGGCACUGCAGUUUCUCAUUUUAAGCACUGUGUUUUUUCUUGUGUUGGGAAAUUUUUAUUUAUAAUACUUAAUUAUUCAACUGACAAAAGCACAAUGUACAGAUCCCUAAUUGGCAUAAACUAAAUGACCAAAAUGACCAGUCCUAUUUCUCGCUUUGCCACCUAAGCAGUAAAACAUGACCUUGAGCACUUGGAGAACUGAGAAAAUUAUUUCAAAUUGCUAAGUUAUAAUAAAUUUGCACACAGAUAACAUGCAUGAUAUAUCAAGCCUCACAUCAUAUUAUUUUAAAAUAAGCAGUGCCCUUCAAAACAGAUGCAGACAUGUGUGUUGGUGGUAGUGAGGAGAUUGGUAUUAGCAUCAAAUCUUCAUUGAUGACUAAUUUUUAAUUCCCUUCCUUUUAUCUUUAGGUAUGGCUUUCCCAACGAAAGGCUAAGAAUUCAAGAACGGUCUUAACUGAACCCUCAUCAGAUCUGAAUUUAACAAAUGCUUAGUCUCAGCAGCCUCCGGGGGGGGUUGGGGGGGGAAGCUUAGCCUAGCAGUCAGUGACUUACUUGCACUUUUUGCACACUGAUAGAAAGUAAAAGUAUGUUAUUAAUUUGGUUUAGUCUGUAAUCUUACAACGUAACGGUAAUUUAUAAAGGAGUGUAUAGUAGUAUACUGACUGCUAAGUGUACUAUACUGUUUGCUUUACUAAUCACCUAAUUCAUUGCAGUUCAUACUUAUUGACUCAAAGUUUAAAACCACAAUCUGUAGGCUUUAAGAAUUGCUUUUAAACCUUUUUAAGUGAUAAACUCUGGAAGUGGUCUUAAGGUUAGCAGAUAAUUGUCAGUAUUAAACAUGGCAUUAUUUAAGUGGUCCUGCUGCAAGAAAGGCACUUCAGUGAAUAUGUGAAUAGUAAAGCUUAAAUAUGUUUGGAUCUAAUAGAGUUGAUGAAAUACUGUAACUUGGGAUUGUGAAUGAAUGGAUAAAAUAGGUUAAGGCCAAGAUAUUUGAAAUGAAUGCAAUAUUAAUAGACGCAUAUAUACACAACAUGCUAUGGUUAAUUUUAAAACUACUGUGCCUUAACGUGUUUCUUAAAAUGGAACUUUUGUAGUAAAUGAACAUUUGAAAUCCAUUUUGAUAAACCUGCUGUUAAUGUUUGUUUUUUUCCCUUGUGAAUGUUUUCUAACUUUGUCUUGGUAAUUGCAAUUUAACUAGGUGCGGUGGCUACUAAAGUUCGAAGGCACGAUAUGCGUGUCCAUCCUUACCAAAGGAUUGUGACCGCAGACCGAGCCGCCACCGGCAACUAACCUAUGACCUUCUGACCUCUGAACUCUUCACCCAAUGAUGACCUGACCAUGCCUGCCUGCUGAUCAGUUAACUGGUAAUCGCCUUUGCUUGCCUGUCGUCAGUGCAGCGAGCUGAGGCACUUGUCCGUUCGUCUUACCAUCUAACCAAACAAAAGACAAAGAAAUUGUUGUCCUCCAGUUCAGCUUUCGGUUUUUCUUUCUGUUUGGGUGAAAGUGGUUCUAGAACCUGCACUGAAUAGUAGUAAAGCAAUAAGGCCCAAUUCAUCCCACAGCACUGAUCAUCUUCUCAUGCCCUGCCCUCAGCGAACGGUAAGAAGGCCUCACUUCAGGAGGGGAGACAGAUGGCCCUUAACUACUCAGUGACAGAGGCAGUUACUGUGAGAGACUUCUAGGAACCUUCUUCUCAUAGCGAGUCACAGCUCUCUGAAUGUACUGUGUGAUGAUGCAUCAUGCAUGAACCUUUGGUCAGGGAUGUCAUUGGUGAAGUGAUUUCAAAAAGUAUUCAAAAUUUGAUACGCUGUUUAGUCACUACAGUGCCCUCAAAGGGCAGAAGUUGCAGCCUUUUUUAUAUUGCCUGCCAAAAUUUGAAAUAUUAGAAGUGUGCCAUGAGAGAAAAAACUUAACAAGGAAUUUUGAGAAGUAAUGCAAAGAGCAAAACUGCAACACUAUUUUUAAAAAGAUAAAUAUCUGAGUUAAAAUUACUGAACCUUUAUUUUACAACGUCCUUUAAAAACUAUACGAGAACAAGGUACAUGCAUUAUGUGUCACAUUACUGGGCAAACUGUUCAAAUAUUUUUUUUAAACCUCCCUGUAUAGAAAAAAAAAAUCAUUAAGGAUGUAAAAGCCAUGCUUGCCUAUUUGCUGUAUACAUGUAAUGAAAUUGUAGAUAAAGUGUAGUGCAUUGAAACAAAUGAACAAAAAGUAGAUACUUUUACUAUACAAGGGUGCUGGUGCAGAAAAAAUAUAUAUAUUUUUGGAAAUGUAGCAUUUUAUACUUUCAAGUGUUAUAAAAAAAAAAAAAGAAAAAGAACAAAGAAACCCUUUAUUUCAUUAAAUGAUUUUUUCUGGUGGUUGUCAAGAAACAAAAGACCAAAAGAGCCUUUUUGUCUUUCUUUUUUAUUUUUUAAGUAUUGGAAUAAGUCUAAAGAAAAGAAAGUGCCUUAUUUUCCUUCAUGGUCAUUUAGUCAAGUGUCUUGUAAGAUCAGCUCCUCCCUCAGAAUACAAGUUAAUGCAUGUUACUCAGUCGCCCGCCCAGUAUGUGAAAGAUUUGAGGGGAGACAAAUGAGUUGAUGGUUUGAAUUAUAUGAUUUUUGCCACGUUACCUUGAUAGAAAUUUGCCAAAUCUGAUACUGUGAAAAAAUUUGAUACCUUUUCUAAUGUCUGACAAGUAAGUUUUAAAACAUCAUUCUUUUAAAAUCAUUAUUGAGUACUUUCGGUUAUUGUGAUAUUUAAUGUUAGCCCACAAGGUUCUGAGAUAAAAAUUAUGUGUGAUCUGAACAUCAGUUUACAGACAAACGUAGAACUUUAUUUUAUUCAGAGAAGGAGGGGUAUGUUGGAUUUUUUUCUUUUUAAAUUGAAGAUAAUAGUAUCCCUAGCAAACUUUUUCACAAAAAUGAAUCUUUGUGAUUUCAUUCUGGAGAACAGUAUUUUUUAAUGGUCCAGAUCUAAUCAGACUUCUUUCUGCCAUAUCAGAUCACUUGGGUAGUCCCUAUCUUUGGUGGUUUUAAUAACCUAAGAGGCCCCCCUACCCCCACACACUUUUUUUUUUUUUUUAAAGUUUAAAAAAAAUGAAGAAAACUGGCAUCAUUGUGCAUAGAAAUGCUCAACUACAUGUGAGUUUAAGCUUGCAGUUUCUCAUGAAAUGGAGUCAGUUCUGUAGUUGAAGCGAUUCGUGCACAGAGCAGACUCCAUGUCAACACUGGAGGGAAUAGCCCUUACCUGCUCAGUACCGGAUAUGGCAAAUACCAAGUGGCAGUGGGUCCCCCGCUCAUCAGCUCAUCCCCUCUCGCACCCCUUCACAGCUUCCCAGUCACAGGUCCGCAGUAAGCUCGGAAGCACCUUCGCGGUGACCUCCUCCAUCCUCUUGUCUCACUUGGAAACCGUUUUCAGUUUAUUUACUAUGCAAUAGACAUUCACUAUUUUGUAUUCAGCUAGCAUGGGUUUAAUGUGCCACUGCUUUGUCUUUCUGUUACACAUACAGUUGUUCUGAUUUCUUUACAAUAUAUGCUGUGCCAUUUUGGUUUUUAUUUUGUUUGGUUGGUGAAUAAAUUUGCGACACUCGAACACUUGAGGUGACAGUAGUUUAAAAACAAUACCAGUAUUUGAUCCAGUUUCAUCUCAACUACGUUGUACCUGGACAUUUUAGAUGUUUAUCAAAGGUCUUUUAUGGGGAAGAAAGUAAAUGUAUGAAAUAAAUGUGUGACAUUUAUAAGUGAUGUUGGCUCUGAACAAACUUUUGAAAACUUAGUUGAUAAAAUUUUGGAUCAACUGAAAAAAAGCAUGACUUUUGAAAUCUCUGAAUGCCUUGGUUCUCAGUAUUAUCAUUCUUUAUUGAAUUUAUUUCUUAUUAAAAUAUGUAGUUUUUAAGACUUCUUUUCUGACAGUAUUAUGUAAUUUUUUAGCGUGGGUAGAUGGGAGUGUCGCUUGUAUGUUACCGUACAGCUGACAUGUAUUUUGUCAAUUCUUUAUUAUCUUAGUAGUUUCAUGCUAUGUAUGUAUCAUAACCAACCUAUUGCCUAUGAGAAACAUGUAAGAUAAUGUAUUUACAGCCAUUGUUACAAGUUUAUAAUGUAUUUUUCUAUCUUGUUUUAUAUGUAUGUUAUAUAACAUUCAAAAAGAAUUUUUUUCUUGAUUGAGAAAAGGAUACAAAAUGCCGAAUCCACAAUUUUGAUAACUGAAAAUUGCCAAUUGUUUUGCAGUACUUUAUUAUAUUGGGUGUCUUGUCUUUCUUGGGCUUUUAGUUAGCUAAUGAAUGAAUACAUUAGACAGUUUUGGGUUUUAGUUGGGAUUUUACAUAGCUUGCAUUUUAAUUCUUUGGUUCUUUGCUGUUUCUAUUAACCCAUAGCAUUAUUUUAAUAAAUGUUAUAAUACCAACCUACUAACUCUGGACUAUGUCUGUUUAUUAACCUUUUCGUGUUUAAUUAAAAUAAACAAAUAAAGACAAAAGAAUGUAAAGUCUUGAGUUACUGGACUAACCCUGAAGAACGUGACCACAGAUAACAUAGCGUGACUUGUUUUUGUGUUGUUCGUCAGCUGACAACUGCGCGCACUACUGUUACAAUGGCUUUGGUUAUUCUGGCCUUUUACCUUGGGGGGUAGGCACCAGUAGAGAUGGGAACAAAGUAGCAUUGGUUUGAGGCAUUCUUCUAGUCUUGCCACUUGCCUUUCAGUCUCUUGCAUUACUAAUUCCACACUCUUAUUUUUCCUUCUCCAAAAUAAUCACUGUCUGCUCACGGCGUAAAGAGGAAAGAGAUUCCUUGUGAUGAUAUACCCCCCAAAAACCAGUUUGAUUCUUUGUUGAACCAUUUCUUUUAAUUUCUAUUAAGUGGGUAGUUUCAUGGUCACAUUAUAAAGCAAAGAAUCUGAUGAGGCUUUGUCUUUAUUCACAUUUGUGUUUUAACUGGACAUUUUCCUUUAUAAAGUGUUAAAGUGUUUUAGCCACUGUUUCUUUUGGCGUGGGAUGGUGGCGGGGUGGGGGGAGAGCUCAACUAGCCAAAGGUAGAGUGGCUCUGUUUCUCAGAACAGUCCGAAGUACGCCAUUUAGUAAUGACAGUGCACCCUGCCUCUCUCCUCUUGUAAACCCUAGAGACAGAUGAGACAGCAUCCUUGAGUUUUCCUGAGGUGUAAUUUCUCUCACCCUCUUCCAAAAUGCAGCCAGAAUAUUCUAUUAACACAAGAAGUUUAAGGGAGAAUGACAGCGGCAUUUGAGAAGUUAUAUCUCAUUCAUUUCUUGCAAGCAAGUCGAUUUCAGAUUUAUUAAAUACUUUCAUGCUUUUCUUGGCUGCAACUUAGGUAAAUUGACCUCCACAUGUGACUUCUUUGCUCUUGAGGUACAUUUUUAUUUCACAGAUACUGGUAAUUUUUUUUUCCCUAUGAAAGUUCUCCUGAAAUUAAUAAGUUCUCAGGAUGAAUUCCUAUGUCUGUAAAUAGUGGCUUAUUUUUGUAAAUUACACUUUAUUUAUUUUAAAGUUCUAAAACUUGGGGCUGAAAUGAGUUAUAUGUUAUAAAAGAUAUACCAGUAUGCCAUUAACCAGUCAGACUGUCAAAGUGCCCUCAUAUUUAUAUAUUCCCAUAGUAUAUCUACAUAAAUGAAUUUUAUAGAAUAGCGAUAACAGCUAAUUUAAUCAUCACAGAGAUAGUUUGGCUCAAACAAAAACAGCCAUUUCUUUGAUGGGCGGUUCGUGUAUUUUUGUUAGGUAGAUAGAGCUUUAAUAUGCUACUCUGUAAACGUUCUCAUUGCUGUACAGUUCAUAGAUUAUUUUGUAAAACUUUGAAGAUACCUGUCAAGCUGCUAAUCUGUAAGUCAUGAUGGUACCGUGUCACUUAAAUUGAUGAAUUUCUAUGCAACUCACUACACAUUCUCUGAAGCCUGUAAAUGCAGUCUCAUCUCAUUUUCAGUUAAUGGUACUUCAUGUAUAAAUAUGUCAUAUUGUCACCUUUUAUGUUGAAAAAUAUGGAAAAGACUUUAAAAGGUGAAAAGAACAGUACAAAUCCCAUUUUAAUACAAGUUGUAAUAGUAUUAAAAAUGAAACUACCAAAUUCUUAGAAUGAUAAAAUACUCUUCCAUUGUUUUAUACUAUCCUUUGACAAAACAAUUGAAAGUUAGGCUUUCAGUCAAGAAGAUGGUGAACUUAGUGUACUUUGUAGUUAAGCAUGUUUUUCUUUGGCAAAAGGUCAGGAAGAACGUACCAUGAAAGCGGAUACACACACCUUAGGGCAGCCGCUUGCCCGUAGACACUAGUCCGCCCAGAGCUGGUAAAGCACCCUAUUCACGAAGGCAAGAUGUGUACGUUCAUACACAAGGUGGUUAAGAUUUUCUUUAAAAAAAAAAAAAAAAGUAGAAAGGAUCUCAGUUUUCUAGUGCAGUGAAAGCAGACAAUAGGUUUAAAUGAAAUUGCUCAAGAAUCUUUACCAGUGAAGCCCAACACUUUUAUAUAUCCUGUAUGACAGUUCAGGGUUUCUCCAGUUUCUUGUUGUUUGCCGUUUGCUUGUUUGUGAUAAAGUGUCUGUCUUUUUUCUUUGGUAACAGUUAGCUAUUUCAGGAUUUCUAGCAAGUGAUUUUUAGUAGAAUGUAAUAUAAUGCUAAAUUAUGAUAGCAAAAGUUACUCCGAAAGCUUUGACUCAAACUUUCUAAGUGCUCAGGCUAGUUUUUUAACCCUGUCACAAAUCCCUAAAUACCUUUAAUCUAAAAUGGAAUAAAUGCUACAUUUUAUAGGCAACACUUAGAAAUAUUCAUAGGGUACACACACGUAAUUUUGUCUAUGGUUUCUUCCAUAUAAAAACCUGAAAUGCCUUUGUUAGGAAGAGACAAAAUUCUAUGCAUACCUGGUACUCAAUGCUGAAUCAAACUGGUUCACCUAAGCAUAGUGCUCUCCUGUCUGUGUUUCUGCUGCACUAAUUGCCAGGGGCGGGAGAGGAGGAGGAAGAGCUAAUUGAGAGCAGAAGCGAUGGUAGCAGGUGCGGCAAAUAACACAGUGUUGAUUUUGCAUUGCUUAGGAUUUUGGGGUCCCUUCUUGGCAAAAGACAUCACUUUGCGGAAAAAGCUCAACUCCUAGGGUAAAAAACUACAUAUAUAUAGUUUUAAAUGCUGUUAUUGAGAAGUUUUGAUUACCAAAUACAUCUUUUCUGGUUUAUGCUGUAGUGGUGUGUAUAAGACAUUUAGAACUUUACUUGUGGAAAUUGUAUAUAUAGAGAAAACUUUGCAUAGGUCUCAAAUCACAUGUGAAUGGAGAACCACGUAUGACUGUACAUGAAGUGCAAUAAACCAACUGGAAAAAGUGCAUGUGCUUCCUCUCCAGCCCGCUGCAGCCAGACAUGUUGCUUAUCCCCCCACCCCCGCUCCCGCCAACAAGACACAAGAAUAAAGAAUGCACGUUAUUUUUAAAUUUUUGAUGCUUUUAACACUAUUUUUAAAGGAAAAGAUAAUCUGACAUUAUGGAGCUCUUAUCACUUAACUGGAAGGGGGUCAUACUGUUUGCCUUGAUCUCAGUGAUGAAGAGAAGGAAUCAUAGUGUUCCUGGGCUGGAUGUACGUACAAAACAGUUACCACUUCUAACUGAGCAAUAGGUACAAUUUGUAGUCUUUACGCAUAAGAAACAAGAAAGGAUGCUGACCAAGUCUCGGUCUUGUCAGCUGCAUGUCAAAGACUCGUGUGAGUUUCUUGAACAAAGCAGAAGAACGGAUAAAGAGAUUGUUUCCAGUAGUUUGAAACUUGCUCCCUGAAGAUUGCAUCUUGGCACCCAAGUUUUAUGGCUCCCCUGUACCUGCGGUUUCCCAGUUCUUACGUGUCCAUAUGAUCCAAUUUCUUCUCUCUGAUCACAAGAACCCUCUUUGUCCUUGGCAGUAUUUUUUCCACACUCCUGCAAGUAGCUGAUGGCGGUAAGACCCGGAGCACGAGAUGUGAAGUAGCAGCCCACAGAGGGCAUUCGAUCUGGCCUGUACAAUAUUGCUGUUGCUUUUUAAUUGCCUUCCGUCGUUUAAUGUCUGAAGAUUACACUUAAAAAAAAAUAUUUUCACAAGGUCUGCCCUUUAAAAAUCAAGUAUCUUAGAAUGCUGAAGACUACAUUCUCACGCGGUAGCCAUAACGCUGAAAAUGAAUAAUUCUGAUGCUCCCUUUGAACCGUGCCCCCACUGGUUUGUCAGCCCCCACCCCAACACACACGCACGCACACACUCCUCACUCCCUCCACUUCACAACUCCCUGUUGAAUUCCUUAAUCCUAUCUUGAAUUUUUACCCUCAACUCCCUGGUUCCUGUGGGGAUCUGAGCUUGCCUCUUGAAAUCCAGAAAAUCUGACUUCAUGCCUCCAACUAGCUUCUCAAAUGUUUAUAAUUUGUAAAGCAGGUUUUAAUGAUUUUCUUCCUGGAAAAGUCAGAUGAGUAGGUUUCUAAAUUAAUAAGAAAUUAUUAGCCUAUCAUUCAUGUCAUAUUAAUAUUUAAUUAGGGAGGAAUUUCUACUGAGUGAAGGGGGUUUCCUUCCUAAUGUAAUUUUUUAAUAAUUAUCAGCUACCUCUAUAUCAUAGUAACUCUCCUUGGUCUUGUUAGAAGACAGUUAAACUUACAGAACAUUUAACAAUUAUGUUAAAAGUACUCUACAGCUAAAAGAAAAUAUUAGUAAUAGUUUGAGAUUACACUUUCCCAGGAAAUGUAUGUUAAAAUUAGGUUGUUCCAGUUACGCUAUUCCGUGAAGUGUGUAGAGUACACACCACCAUAAAAGUGCUUAUUUGUACGUAUGUGCCAUACAGCAGUUGUGUUUUAGGGAGCAUCUAAAAAUUAGGGUGAAAAAAAAAUUUUUUUUAAUGUACGCUCCUGUUACGUAACUGGGUAUUACUUAUACUCUGGUUACUUAACUGGAUACUAGGGAAAGUCAUGGGAGAGAAUGGUUAAGAUCAAAUACUGAGAGAAGAAAAUAUUUGCAGAUGAUUCCACAAGUAUUUUCUUGCAGAACUGUUGGAGUUGAUACUAAAAAUUUCACGAUCACUCAUUUACUUAGAACUAUCAAGGUUGGGAAUGAAUAAAAUACGUUAUGCUUGAAAUUUUAAAAGCGCUCUUAAUCACAGUGUUUUAAAUUUUGUCUUAUAAAAUUAAAAGACUAGCAGUGUAAAUGGAAGGUUGCCUUGAAUACAUUCUAAUUAAAUGAUUUAUGUUAAUAA